rnacentral:rRNA from 1 species
GAUGAACGCUGGCGGCGUGCCUAAUACAUGCAAGUCGAGCGAACGGACGAGAAGCUUGCUUUUCUGAUGUUAGCGGCGGGCGGGUGAGUAACACGUGGAUAACCUACCUAUAAGACUGGGAUAACUUCGGGAAACCGGAUCUAAUACCGGAUAAUAUUUUGAACCGCAUGGUUCAAAAGUGAAAGGCGGUCUUGCUGUCACUUAUAGAUGGAUCCGCGCUGCAUUAGCUAGUUGGUAAGGUAACGGCUUACCAAGGCAACGAUGCAUAGCCGACCUGAGAGGGUGAUCGGCCACACUGGAACUGAGACACGGUCCAGACUCCUACGGGAGGCAGCAGUAGGGAAUCUUACGCAAUGGGCGAAAGCCUGACGGAGCAACGCCGCGUGAGUGAUGAAGGUCUUCGGAUCGUAAAACUCUGUUAUUAGGGAAGAACAUAUGUGUAAGUAACUGUGCACAUAUUGACGGUACCUAAUGAGAAAGCCACGGCUAACUACGUG